ACGUGGCUUUUGCAUAGGGAGGCCUUGUGUUGUAUUUACUGAGUCUACAUGAAACAGGGAGGCAUCUGAGUUGUGCUGUCUCCACACAUUUGAUGCAUGCCAGCCUAGCACCAGUGGCCCUGUCCUGGAAGCCGAGCAUUUGAAGCCAGGAAACCAGCAUCCCGGGAGCUGCUAACAACCUCCCACCGCCUGAGGCAAUGACGAAUCCCCACAGUCACAUGAUCGAAUUCGGACCCUGACUCCUAAUUAUGACGGUUGUAGUAUCCCAGGGACUUGUGAUCACCGUUUGCAAACUUCUGACAACAAAAAUCAAUGGGGAAGGAAUGAUUGAAUUAACAACAGUGGCAAGGAAGAUCUCCCCAGAAAGGACACGACAGAAAAGAAGAAGAAGAUUUUCUUCAAGACAAAGGACAUCAGAAAAGAAGAAAAUACACCACGCCAGGCUUCGUGCUGCAGAAGAGACCGAUGGAGGAGCCAGAAGAUAUGGGAAGAGGUCCAUGAGAGGAUGCAGAAGACAGACCAACCAGAGCGCAGUAUCCUUGAAGGCCUCUCUUCCAUCACCACUCUGUUUCGGCUGAAGCGGAGUGGGCAAAUGGCCGUCCCCGAGCCAAGGAACAAGAACCUCUACGGCCUGGCUGUCUUGGCUCUGAUGGAGGACAACCGUUUCAGCAGCUUCACAGCAGGACUAGCUGCAAUGCUUGCGGUUUAGGACAUCAGCAAGGUUCCUCCAGCCAUGGACCCCUACGUUGAGUCCCAGCUCCUGAAGAUCUUUGGGUCCAUGUGGAUGUCCUCCGUGAAAAACCGUGGGGAGAAUAUUGCAGAGGCACCAUCUUCAGC